UACGGAGGAUGCGAGCGUUAUCCGGAUUUAUUGGGUUUAAAGGGUGCGUAGGCGGGCUGUUAAGUCAGCGGUAAAAGCCCGGGGCUCAACCCCGGCGAGCCGUUGAAACUGGCUGUCUUGAGAUGUCGAGAGGUAUGCGGAAUGCGCAGUGUAGCGGUGAAAUGCUUAGAUAUUGCGCAGAACUCCGAUUGCGAAGGCAGCAUACCGGCGGCGAUCUGACGCUGAGGCACGAAAGCGCGGGUAUCGAACAGG
rnacentral:rRNA from 1 species